UUUCAACCGUUGAUGAGGAAAGUACAUUGAUUUGGCAAGCCUAGAGAGUCUUCGUAGGGUGCAAGAAGAACUUGUAGAAUCAAUCGAAAAUGGCCUCAGAGGUGAUCUUCUGAACUUGUACGAAAGAUAAGAAGAUCCGGGUGCGCCCGCUAUCGCGUCAGAGUAUAACGACGUUAAUUUGUCGCGUACUUGCUGAGAAGCAUGCUGGAAAGUCUGCUUGAAUAAAGGUGGUAACACGUAAACACGUCCUUUGA
rfam:Enterococcus casseliflavus EC20, complete genome.